rnacentral:lncRNA from 1 species
AUUUUAGUCUUCAGAGGAAGCAAAAGACAUACUUCAUAAGUACAAAUGAUCUUCCUAAGUACAAAAGAUACGGUGGUACCAUGGUUCAUGAACGUAAUUUGUUCCAUGAUUCUGGGGAAGAUGGAUGUGGUCAUAUUCAUCACCAGACGCAAAGUUCAGGAAAAGUUGAAAGUGAGGAAUAUAUGGAAAAUUAUUUGAAUUGCAAUUGUGGUAGAAGGAGCCUGAAGCAGAAGUAUCACAAGUUUGAGUCCCACUUGGGCAACUUACCAAGACCCUGACUAAAAAAAAAUAAAUAAAAAUAAAAAGGACUGGAAUGCUGCUUAGUGAGAAGACCUUGAGUUCAAUCCCCAGUACCACAAAAAGGAAAAUGAAGAAUUACAGUGAGUAAA